AUUGAACGCUGGCGGCAGGCUUAACACAUGCAAGUCGAACGAGUGGCGGACGGGUGAGUAAUGCUUGGGAAUCUAGCUUAUGGCGGGGGAUAACUAUGGGAAACUGUAGCUAAUACCGCGUACCAUAGUAUGUGCCCAAGUGGGAUUAGGUAGUUGGUGUGGUAAAGGCUCACCAAGCCGACGAUCCCUAGCUGGUCUGAGAGGAUGACCAGCCAAACUGGGACUGAGACACGGCCCAGACUCCUACGGGAGGAAGCAGUGGGGAAUAUUGGGCAAUGGGGGAAACCUGACCCAGCCAUGCCGCGUGAAUGAAGAAGGCCUUCGGGUUGUAAAGUUCUUUUGGCAGAGAAGCGGUAACUACAGAAUAAGCACCGGCUAACUCCGUGCCAGCCGCCGCGGUAAUUC
rnacentral:rRNA from 1 species